UGAGGAGACUGUGAAGGUGGUUUCUAAUGGAGAAAGCUUGGCCAGUGUCUUCUUCUUCAGAGUGUUCCAGUUUCUGGGCAGCAACGGAGACGUUUACCUGCACUGUAACACCAAACUCUGCCUCAAAUCUGCAGGCUGCACCAAGACCUGUCCUGGCAUUAUAUGAGCAUGGACUGCUGAAAUCAGGGUUGAUUGUGAAGAGGGUCUUCAUAAGAAUGAUGCAUAUGUGAGGUGGUGGAAGAAAGGAUGAAAAUCUUUAGAAAUUUUAUUUUUGAUUUAAAGGUGAUGGAGGUUUUUGGACUUCAUGUAAUUUCUGUUAAUUGCUAAGAGACAUAAUUGUCCUUGAACUGUCUUUUAGAGCUACAAUAUCCAGGCUAUCAUAUAAAGUAAAUGUGGACCUUGAAUAUCGGAUUUACUCAGAAUCUAACUUGGUUUAUGUGUGGUUUAGACCUGGUUUGAACCUGGUUUAGACCUAGUUUAGAGCUGCUUUGGACUUGUUUUAGACCUGGUUCAGACCUGUUUUAGACUUGGUUUUGGACAUUGUGUGUUGGAUGUAAUGAGAUUCUACAUUGGCUUUAAUUAUGAAACUACAUGGCAUUUUCAAUUAAUACAGUGACUUGUUUUUUGUGUUUUUGUGUUUUGUGUGAUUUUUGAGUACACACAAGAAGCAGGCACUUUUAUAAUGUGAAAUCCAAACAUUUAGUAAAAAUUGGACUAGACAAGACUACAUGUUAAAUCUAAAUUACACUGCAUGCCUUUUGGUGCACUUGUGUUUCUUACAUAACCACCAGGGGGCAAUCUUUAGACUGUGAUACUCAUACUCAGAGCAUAUAUAUAAAUGUUUUCCUCUUGAUGUGAAUCCUAAACAGACUAUGAUGAGAAAUCCAGUUUAAAAUAUUUAGUUAUCUGAUUGGACAAGACUACAUGUUAAAUCUAGAUUAAAGAUUAUGGAUUUUGGUGCAUGUGACACUCAUACCCAGUCCAUCUAUAAACCUUUUCCUCUUGUUAAAAAUCCAUCUGGAGGAAAAUGUUAUGUAUCUGAAAUAAGCUUUAAAAUAGACCAUAUAUUUUUAAACAUAAUUAAGGGAGCUCUUGGGACUCAAAAUAAAUAUAAAAUGGGUUGAAUAUUUAGCAUGCAUAAUAAAAUGUAUUAAAAAAAAAGUCAAAAUCCAUUAAAAUGUGAUGUGUUUGCA